UGAUAUAUAAGGGGCUGUAGUCUCCACACUAGCUCUUUUUAGUUCCUGGACAGUAAAACAAGCACAAGUCCUGUACAAGUUCAGUCCAGUAUAGCUAGGCCAAAGCCUACAAGUCUGCAGCCACAUCUAAUCUAUUCUUCUCAAACUCUUCAUCAGCCCAGUAGAACAGGACUUCUGCUCCCUCGGAUACGAUAACUGGAACCCCCUGUUACAGCACGCGCACUGAAGGACUCUGACACACAUGGAUGCCGGCACUACAGCUCAUCCAUACUAUCUGAUUACAUCAAUCUUCAUCUGCGGAUAUCACCAUCUCUGAGGCCGGGUGCCAUCCGUGCCAAACCGCGGCCACAAUUCCUUUUGGAAGUCACUGCUUCUACCACGCAGAGCUCCCCAAUUACGUCUGCCCAGCACAUCUGCAGACAGGCACUGCCAGCAACAGGCCGGACGCGGUCCAUGCCAGCCCGCAUCUGAUGCCGAACAGAGGAGCUCCCAUACCGAAUAGGGUGGUGAGCGGUGCGGUGCACCAACAAUACUUCCAACCUCUAUCCUAACCUUGAAAUUACAUUCAAGAUUCCACUGUAUUAUUCCAACAGCAUCAAU